UACAGAGGUCCCAAGCGUUGUUCGGAUUCACUGGGCGUAAAGGGUGCGUAGGUGGUGAGGUAAGUCGGAUGUGAAAGCUCGGAGCUCAACUCCGAAAUGGCAUUGGAAACUACCUUGCUCGAGGGAUGGAGGGGGGACUGGAAUUCUCGGUGUAGCAGUGAAAUGCGUAGAUAUCAGGAGGAACACCGAUGGCGAAGGCAGGUCUCUGGGCCACUACUGACGCUGAGAAGCGAAAGCCAGGGGAGCAAACGGG
rnacentral:rRNA from 1 species